rnacentral:rRNA from 1 species
UCCUACGGGGCGCAGCAGUGAGGAAUAUUGGUCAAUGGGCGCGAGCCUGAACCAGCCAAGUCGCGUGAGGGAAGACGGUCCUAUGGAUUGUAAACCUCUUUUGUCGGGGAGCAAAAGCCGCCACGCGUGGCGUUCCGAGAGUACCUGAAGAAAAAGCAUCGGCUAACUCCGUGCCAGCAGCCGCGGUAAUACGGAGGAUGCGAGCGUUAUCCGGAUUUAUUGGGUUUAAAGGGUGCGCAGGCGG